rnacentral:lncRNA from 1 species
AAACGGCGCCUGCUGAUGACGCCAUCGCCGCGCGCGCGGGCCCUUCCGCCACCGGCCCGAAGGAAGGGGAGUCGCCGCGCCACCGCCGCCGCCAUGGCCCGCAGACGCCCGGCAGCUUCCGUCUCGGCACGUCCAGGCCGUGUUCACCCUCCUGGCUCGCUGGCCUCCCCUCCCAUCUUCACGGAAGCGGCCGGGGCCGCCCCCUGCCAGCCUGGCUCUCCAGUCCU